GGCGAGAUAGUUUAAGGAAAAUGCCUACCUUACACGUAGGAGUUGGCUUUGGUGCCUAUCGCUA
rnacentral:tRNA from 1 species